UCCCUUGUAGCUCAGUUGGUAAAGAAUCUGCCUGUAAUGCAGAAAGCCCGGGCUCGAUCCCUGGGUUGGGAA
rnacentral:tRNA from 1 species